ensembl:lncRNA
AAUUGUGCGUUGAAUUUUGCUUUAAUAUCAAUGUACAACUCUUCAGCUUGCUCACAUUUGUUCUAUUAUGUUCAUGAUUUGUUUCCUGUUUCCCAUAAUAGUCAUUUUCCUGGCACAUGUUUACCUAUUUAUUAAGUAUACUGUUAACGCCAGCGUGUCCAAAUCCUUGUUAUUACUGUUUCCUGUCUCUUCCUGCACCCCUCAUUUCUCCCACUUUUCUAUGCAGAUGGUUAAACCACCGUCCUUUUCUAUCUUCUUCCCAUUUUUUCUGCCACCCCUGUGAUACUAUGUUGUUUCAGCCUUACUCAAUCUGACUAGUAUUACUGUAGCUAUGUUUUAGGACCUCUUUUGCAGCGUUAUCUGACAUUUCAUUAGCAAUGAUCCCAAAAUGUGCUGGAACCCAAAUAAAUACAACUGUCAUACCCAUCAUUUGUAUCUGUACAAUGUUUGUUGUAUUUCAAUAAGGAUGUCUGGUCUUCUUUCUGAAUGGCUGUUCUGUAAGCUGACUAAUGAUGAACCUGAAUCCGAACAAAGCAAAGCAAAGAGGAACAGCCGUUCCAUGUGGCAGCCAAGAGGCGUAAAUUGUGGACUGCUACUAAACACCUACAAAAGUACAGUAAAAAUAUCUACACGUUCGAAAUUACAACCUGUGUGUCAGUCAAACUGUACUCAAAUCUCAGAGCAACAUAUUGAUAUACAUCCCUACUAUUUGAACAAAUACUGAAAACAAAUAUGAUAAAGUAACAUUGGCUAUGUCAUGCAUUAUCAGACAAUUCAGGUAUACGUCAUCCCGAUAAAGAUGGAGAUGAAUUCAUUAUUCUUUGACCUGACUCACACAAAUGUAAAUGAUGAUCUUUCACAGUCAUCUGACUGAUAUUUUUGUCAUAACUGAUAGUUUCAGACAUCCACCUGACAGUUUCCCGACUUCAGCCAAUUUAGCAUAUCUGUAUGAAUGUUGCUGAAUGAAUGAAGUUAGCUGUUAGCUGACGUUAGCUGCUCGAACAAGGCUAGUUAGCCUUGUACGUAAAAACAGGAUUUGUUAAAUUAUAGGGUUUUUUAUUAUUUAUGUUGUUAUUGUUUAAAAAACGACUUUUUUUAAAACAAAAACUACAUUUAGUAUUUUUGUUAAAUUUAGUGCAGUUUUCCUCUCGCGCACCCCCAUGGGUGCCCGGAUCACACUUGGGAGUCCCUGAUAUAUAGUUAUAUUAUAAAUAAAAUUGUAUUCAUGGGUUUAUAGAACAAGAAUAAAGACAAUUCUUGAUGUUCUAUUUCUUAUUUUUACCAUAUUACAAUAUGAAACUGUCAUGAAGAGGACAAAAAAAUACUAGGGCUGUCGAUAGAUUAAAAAUAACUAAUUAAUUGCACAUUUUGAAAUUCAUUAAUUGUGAUUAAUUAAUGUCAAUGAAUUUUUGUUUUUCUCCUAAAGACUAAAUCUUACAAGUAAUAAUCACUUUAGAAAGCGUGUAUUUUAGACACGGUUGUUUGAAUGUUAUUUUAAUCACACAUCUGAUCAUCUCGGAGGCAGAAUUCCACCUGGUGGAACACGUUGAACCAGCGACUCUUCCUGCUGCCCUUGUUGACUUUGCUGAGCUCACGUCUCCAUCGUUUGACGGCUGUGUUUGAAGUGCCAACCAUCUCCUGACAUUUAGCCAGGACCCCACGCAGGGUAGAUGGUGAGAUGGAGAUGGUCUACCUGUACCUGUCCAUGAUGCUCGUUGCUCAAACAUACUUGUGUGUGUGUUUGUGUGCGUCAGGUCAAAGCUGCUGGUCACAGGGCUGCAUGGAAAUAGCAGAGCCGACUGUUGUUGGCAAACCUACAAUAGAAAAAUAGAACGUCUGGAUAGAGUUCAGGGGGAAAGCAAUUCAAUAUAACUACUGUAAAAACUUCAAAUAUAACGAUUAAGGAUAUCGAUUACAAUUGCUGAUUGAAAUGGUUUUGUUCAGGUCAAAGAUUCACCAUUCAUCAUUGACUGUGCAGUUUGUUAUCAUUUUUAGUGCUGAGCUUUUGCAUCUCAGUUCAAAUCCGCUGACAGUAUUCUAGUGGAUGUAUAUCGUUUCCCCUCUUCCUUGGCUACAAUUCAUCAGUGGUAAACGCUAUUGUGGUAACAACAUUUUACAUAUGUAGCUGGUCCAGACAGGGAGUCAAUAGCUAAGAUCACUCAUUUUUUGGAGCUCGAUGACACUUUUUAUUCUAAUAUGAAAUGAUGUGGAGGUGCAAACAAUUCAUUUACCAUUUGGUAAGUGUUCUAGGGAAGCAUUUAGCGUAUUCUCCACUGUACUGACCUUAUGAGGAAGGAAGAAGAAAAAAGAAGGCCUGUCCAGUCAGUGAGAAAACACUGCAAUCCCUGUUUGUCUGGCCUCUGGAAAGAAACAAUUUAAUAAUUCAAAGCAUCUCAAUCUCAUCAUGUCACCUGGUCUCUCCCCUAUUCAGUGGAAGGGGGCAGUUUAAUGUGGGUGCGGGUGUGAUGAAGAUAAGAUUACAGUUCGGUGUGGCAGAGGAGAGCAAGCUCACACAAAGCGAGGCCCUUUUUGUCCCUCUCCGCUUACCGGCUGUCCUCAGGAUGAAGCCGGUCUGUCUGGGAGCUUGAAUGUGAGGCUGUCUGCACAACACAGGUAUCAGUUUCAGUCCGAGGUGGCCACCAACAUGUCUGCUUAAUGAGUUUGACAUUGACAUGAACUCUCUGUCUGGAGGAAGUCUGAGAGGAAACAGCGGAGCGUUUCAGGAUGACAGGUUAUCCAUUGCUGUCAAUCGAUGACGCUGCAGUGUUAUGGACUGCAAAUGGGCUAAUGACGCAUAUUGCUGUUUGAUUGCACUUAACGCAGAGAUGGUACCAUGUAUCGCCAUUGAAUUGCUACAUUGGAUAUGUUGUUAGCUGGCAGGCUAACAGUGGCCAUUGCUGUUGGAAAGUUUUGGUAUUAAGUGUGUAGUGAGCACUGAAUCUAUAUAUUCACAGCCGGUAGGUGUUGAAGCCUACAGAGUUUGUUAAAAAUCAGACCUUUUUCUUCCAGUACAAUAUGCUGCUCGACACAUAUCGCUUGAAAUAUCAACUGGACGGACUGAUCGUUCAGCUAAAUUUGUCCAAAGGUUUUGCUGCCAUCGGCAACCUCAUGUGGGUAAUUAAAGAGAUGCAAAGCAGGCUGUGAAAUCCCCCACUCAUGAUUGGAGGAGCAAGAGAAGACCCGCCCAGAAGUCCCGGCCAAUCGGAGGAUGGCCAUUGCCGUUCCCGCCAGCUCAAAGGGCCUGACGGAUCGGGGCGGCCGUCAGAAAACUCAACUGUGCUUAAACGUUAUUUUGAUAAUAAAUGUGUUCGUCAUUCUCCUCCUUUUAAGUUAACAGCGUCUUAGAAUAAACAUCAAAUUAAACAGCAUAACUGGGGCUACAAGUAUACAUACGGCCUAUUUACAUGCUCCAAACAAAACUCAAAAACACUGUUACGGUUUCAGAGGCGCCACCUCCGCAUUCUGCCACUGGAGUCCCUGCUCGCUGUCCAUUGUGCAAUCGUCUCCCUGUCACUUAGACACUCGAGGCCUCGUGUGUUUUCCAUCCUGGUAACGAGCUGGCUGGGUGUGGACGCUGCACACCUGCAUCCAGUUUCCAAUCUUCAGCAGAGCCUUCUGGUACCCUGCUUUUCCAUCACUCCUCGCCAGAUCUCCCCAUAGAACCACCUGACAAGUACCAAGAGAGCUAAAACCGACAUUGUUGCUGGUCGUACCUUUUGUAGAACCUUUUUUCAGUGUUUUUUCUGCAGUCAUUCUGAUUGCUUGUUUUUUUGCCUUAUUCCAGAUCUGCAGUUGUCUAUCGCCCACCGUCGCCACUCGUGUGGAUCCCCUUAUUUUGUCCUAAUCGGACGGGCAGUGUUUCCCCUUUAACUUCUCGUAAGGCAGAAAAACACUCGCGAGGUCUCCCGGAGGAAAUGCUGAGAAGUGCAUGAAACUCUGAUACCCGGUCGCGCUGCACCCGUUACCACGGCACCGGCCGAUGUCUCCGCUCCACGGGACUGAGUAACGAGGAAAGGGCGUACGGGGGGCGGGGCUUAGAAAACCUGGCGCUUAAAAGUCAGCCUACAGAAUAUUUUCCUCAAACACUAUGGUCAACUUAGAACUCUUUCAAUCGUCACUAAUCACGACUGUCACGGAGCAAAUGCAUCCAGGAACGUAUUUUAAUCUCACAAUAAAUUUGAUUUAUAUCUCUGGCUCGGAAAUACCGAAAAUCAUUUGGACUCCUGAGAAAAAAGGAUGAUGCUGAACAAAAGUGUUGAGAAUUUAGGAAACGGACAGAUUUUAAUCUACAGCUUCUGUCACCGUCCAGCAAAAAGCAAGAACCCCUGUUCUCCAGUCGAACUGUCCCUUUUACGAGAGUCCGGGGAUUCAGGAACGUCCCCAGAAAAGCAGCAGAAGGGUAAAAUCCCCACAUAAAUCACAAGUGUCCACCUGCACUUCUCCAGAACUGCUGUCACUUCUGUCCAUAACACCAACAUAUCUCAUUUUACAGUUUUAGAUGACAUGCACAUAUAAAAAUAAGAAAAACAACUUAUGUAGGUGUGGCAAUAAGGAUGACUUUAUACCUCUUAUAAUGCAUAAGCCUAGGAAAAACAGCGCAUCUUUUAUAUGUCCUCCAUAAUAUGGAUGACUAUAAUCAAAAAGUAUAAGGUUAACCCAUCGGCACGUCGGAUACAUGUAGUGUAUCCAAUAGUCCUUCGUCCUUAAAAGGCCAUAUAACAACAUCCAUUUUCCAUAUCGUGCUAUCCUCUCAACAAAGGACACGAAUAUUAAGUAUUCCUCCUGUUUAACAUCCAGGGCUCUGUAGACGAGGUAAAUACAGGCUCCCUCCACUAUUUGUAAUAAAGUAUUUUCAUCGGGCAGUUUUCUCCUCACGAUCUAAUUUAGCUUUAAAGCAAAAUGAAAUGUAAUUCAGCCAGAAACCAUGAAUCUUUUUUUCUAAUGACAUUGAUCUCAUUUGGCCUGAAAUAAACGCCUCAACCCCGGCCUUAUCUGAGUCCGGGCUUUCUUCAAACGAUCCUCACAUACAUUAAGAGGCUUUUAGAUGCCUUCUCAUCCACAAGGAAGGCCCCGAGCUCCAGGUGAGAUUGGAUGUGACUGCAUGAUAAUGGAAGCACUAAUGCAAUGACAGCCAGAUUCCAGCCACGCAAAGGUUACGGCCCAGGCAAAUUCUUAAUCAGCUCGAAAUGUCACAGAGCUAACCUUGGGUCCAAAUAAGGGCGUAGGUAGACAUUAGGAGGCAGACCACGUCAGCAGGCCGACCAACCAGCAGGAGGGGGGCUGAUGGGUCAAAGAAAACAGCAACUUUCUUUCAAACAUGAGAUGAAUGUCAGACAGCUUGGCAAAGUGGUUCAAUUUUCUAUUCAAUCCUUAAACGCACAAUGUGUGUAUCCGCUCCGGUCAUGAGGAAUCCACGUUUCCAUACUGAUGUUCACGUUUAUUUCGAGUUGGAACACCGUGAAAACUAGAAAACACAAAAAAUGUACAACAACAAAAAUCAAGUUUUCUGUCUUUUAUCAUAACGUCACAAAUAACAAAGUAAACAAUUAUGAAUUUAACACAAAGUACUCAAAUCUACAGUAAAACAUCUAUUAUAAUUGCAGGAAUACAAUUAAAACAACUAAACUUCCGGUGUUGUCAUGGCAACGUAUGCGGUCAGCGUCCGCUACAAUGUCUACGCCUAAGAUCUGCCACAUGCCACAAACAUGUAGGCAUUUUACUGCCUCUUACUGGCUCCAUUCAGUAAUUAACCGCUGUUUAAAUGGUUAAAUUGGCAAGCUUUGUGGGACUGAAUCUUACAAGUAAUGAGUAAUCACGUUAGAAGACGUGUAUUUUAGACACUUUUGUUAAAUAAUUUCAAACACAAAACUACACACGUUUGAUGAUCUCCUAGACAGAAUUUAACUUGGAACAGCGAGUCUUCCUGCUGUCAUUGUGUAGUUGCUGUGCUCAAAACUCUCCAUCAUUUGACGGCAGUGAUUGAAGUGCCAACUGUGUCCCGACAUUUAUCCAGGACGUUUUCCAAACUACUGACUUUUACAGCAGUAACGCCAACAGUGGCGAUCCUCUGCAGGGUUGAUGUAGCCUAGCAGCUAGCUUAGCCUAUCAGUGCGUGAAGUGGUCCGUUUGCCACUCCUUCCCCUUCUGUUCGACACAUGGAGGAAUUCCUCUGUGUUCUCUGCAGGAUGUUGCACCUCUGUUUGUUGUACUUCCAAUGCAAAAAGCUCCAUCUUGAUGUAGACCCUGUGCAGACGGACUCUAGUUUGCCUGAACCCGGUGAACCCCGUCUCCGGAUAGCCCUAUCGUGCAGACGAACGCACUGUAGCCACACUCCCUCGAAUCGGGGGUCCAAAGUGAGUAAACUCGAAAUCCGAUUGCUGUUGGUGUUUGUCUGCACGCUAUCCGCAACCCUAAUCGGAUUGCCCCACGUGAUUGCAUGCAACCUCACGCUGAACCCUUAUUAACCCCAAUGCGUCACUUCAUAACAACGAGAACAAUGGCGAACGCAAGAAUAAUGUGCCUGCUGAAUGUGCUAACAAGUCUACAAUGCGUACUACGGGAAUAUUGUCAGUUAUUUUCGUUUGUAUACAGCGCGCAUGUCUUAUACGCAUGCUCCUGUCUUCUCCUUCCGUUUUCUUCAGUUGUCUGUAGCACCUUGAAGCGCCACCAACAGGCGUGGGGGAUGUACUACAGCGGAGUCAAUCGGAUUCACUGGGUUCAUGUGCACGCGAUUUAAAAAGUGGGUAGGUGUGAAAAAUGAACCCGGGUUCAGGCAAACUAGAGUCCGUCUGCAUGGGGUCGUAACUGACUGCAGCUAGCGGCCGUUUCCUUUCCGUGGGCAACUUCUCCCGGAAGGAAACUCGAAGUAAACAAACAUCAGUAACUACGUGAAAAUAUUCUGUUGGAUUUAUGUUGGCCACAUUAAUCAAAUUGAUGUGGCUUUUACGUGGACGGCCCUAAUAUAUUAGCGCAGGGCACAUUAACGCUUUGUUAUUGCAUUAACACAUGAAAGCCGACAAUUAUUCUAAAGCACAUUAACAGUGUUAUGAAUAAUAAUUAUUGAGAUAGUAGGACGACUGGCUUUGAAAAAAAUACUGACAUAAGAUAGGCCGCAGUGAGGUUGCGAUGUGAUGAGUUUUCGCUUGGGAGUCGGGGCAAUGAGAGCAUUGAGACGGCAGAGAAAUGGAGAAAAGGAUUCUCCAUUUCUUUGUCCCCACUAGUCUUACGUGGAUAUUUUUAUUCUAAUUAUCGUCCAGAUGGAGUUGAUGGAACCAAAAUUAUUAAUAACCACUGCUGUCAAAUUUUUUAAACCACUACUGUCAUUUUUUUAGCCAUGGCUCCUCCCAGGUUGUUCACUUCACCUAAAACCCCCCCAGGGUCCUAAAACCUUGCAUGCACGGUUUCUUAUGAACAUCAAUAAGUAUUAUGAACCUCAACGUACCCAAAAAAGAAAACAGAUCAUAUGUUCAUUUGCUUUUUUCUCAGAAAGGUACAAGUCAUUUUUGCUAAAACCAGCAGGAGCAAAUAGCUUUAGUUUUAUAUUUCAUUUGAUUACAUUCAUUUUUAAAUUGAGAUUUGCUGUGUCCAACUGUUACUGCUGUUAGUCCAUCAGAAGCCGUUCUACCCAGCGUGUCACACUGUUUCUAACCACUGUGUGGGUAGUGGGCCUAGACAAUGUUGUAGAGGAGCCUCUUCCUCAUUUAUUCACCUGAGCUCUGUGAAGCGCCCCCCCUCUCUCUCCCAGGCUCCUCAGCACAUCCCAGUAUAGACCAGCCUGGGUGAGCAUGCGGGCCUGAUUACACCCUGCACAUUUAUCAGUUUCCAAGGCUAUCAUUAUCCCCCCGGGGAAGGUUGUGAAUCCUGCAGACAGGUGCAGGGCAAUUUUGAGAUUAUUUAUAAUGACAGCUCCACCUCCAAACCCACUGUCAUUGGCAGCUGUUCUGAGGAAUAUUCUACGGCAACACACAGGGCAAAUACCUUUAAUGGUGGAGUGCUUGAAAAGGCAAGGCAAGAGAAGAGAAGAGGGCAAAAGUAUAAUUUAUUGAGUCAUUGAUUUGGGUGUGAGCUGUUUUUUUUAAAAGCUGAUCUAAUGUGGCAACUGUGGAAACCAAUCACCAUGUGUUAGCAUGAUAUCUCUCUUGGAAAGUGACAAAAGGUGUGCCCAACCCCCCAGACUGCCCACGCGUUAGUUUCAGUUCUUGUUCUCUUAUGUUCAAAAGCACAACCACCACACCCUGAAUAUUAUGGUGCAAAUUUAUUUAUUGAGCAUAUUCAUCUGGCUUUGUAAUCUUCAUGCAGAAUUUAGUAGUGGGUGAACCAAAAGUCACUAUCUAGAGUCUAACUGGUUUUAAUAGACGACAUCACAUUAUCCCAAUCCUGGAUUCUCUUCACUGGCUCCCGGUUUGGUUAGAAAACAGAUUUUAAGAUUUCACUGAUCACUGUUAAAGUGCGUUUGAUUCUGGGCCAAAAAUAUAUGGAGGAAAUCCGGUUUUGAAAUAUAUUUCUGACGAUAUAAGAGUCAUAAAUCAGUUUUAAAUCUUUUUUUAAAUCACCUCUUAAAACACAUUUUUAUAUGCUUUUAAUAUUGUUUCUUUACUGCUUUACUCUAAUUUAGAUUGGCACUUACGAUCAGACGCUUUUACAAACAAUACAAAGGGAUAUUUGCUAUUGUAUACAUGUUUAUAAUCCUAUUCAUUUCAUUUUUCAUUUAUCAAGCGGCCAACUGUUCAGAAAGUCCUUCAAAUUAAAACAUCUACACCAGCGGUUAACAUACUUAAGAAUGCCGCGGCCCAAUUUGAAAUCUGAAAAUCUUUUGCGGCCCACCCACACCUUUAAUCACCUCUGAUCAAAACAUAAACUAGGUAUGAUUAUAUGACCUUAAGAAUUCAACCGAUUAAAAAUGUAUUAACUGACAAUGUAUGUUUUGUAUACCAUUUUCUCCGGAGAUCAUUUAUAUAUUCUUUAAUACUACAAGAGGGCACCUCAUUUGACAUAUAUUAAUUUCAAACUUUUCAAAAUUGAAAAUUAAAAGCAUUUUAUUUAUUUAUUGUAAAUUACCUCUCACGGCCCACCUGCAGUACCUUUGCGUCCCACACUUUGGGAAUCGCUGAUCUACAACAUUUUGCGGAUCCAUAAGAUCUGUAUUACAAAGUUUCCUUUAGGAAUAGCUUUGAGAACGUUGCCAGGUUCAACUGCACUGAUUAUAUUAUCAAAACCUGAUUGAGAAGAUAUUUUGGUGCUCAGUCCAUGUUAGAACAUUGGUUAUACAAGCGAGAGCAUGACGUUGAUGUAUUGCUAUCAGUGAGUGGGUGUCAGCCAAGGUUAGUUGAGGUUGACGAGCCAAACGGUAUAUUUUUAAGACAAAAAUAGAGAAAAGCUGAAGACAGAGAGGGAUCUAGUGGAUUGGAUUCAAGAGGUGUUCGGUCACGUUUUUAUACAAUUAACUCAUUCAUAUUUUCUUAUUUAUAUGUUUUGUGUCUAAAAACUUUGACUACACUACACAAUUUACUAACUGUAAAAGGUUGGCCGAAGAAAUUGAUCAAAUAAAACCAUGCAGUAAAGAACUUCCUGUAGUUUGUACUUCAUGUUGUCAUAUAAAACAGCACAAAGAAACAAUGCCUCCCUAGUAGCUAACAAAGACCGGUUUACAUUGACAUCUCUGCAUUGUAACAUUUGCAGACGAUCCUUGCUGUAUAAUCUGUGAUCCAUCUAUUUUGAGGUGGAUAAUACCAAGCUUUGGGCUGUCACACAUUCCUUUCAGCAGUGUAUUGCUUUCUGCGAUGCAUCUGUGUUUUUUCAGUGGAGGUGUGAAACCAAUUCCUCCAUCUCAUGCGAAGCCCCUCCAACUGGAUUGCUGCUUGAGGCAACCUGCUGGUUAUGCUGCAUCAGACCGUAUAGAUAAGCUGCUACUCCUAUAAAAAAAUGUCAUACUGUAUAUCUCACUUAAAAAAAUAGGUUAACACAAAAUGAGGAUUAAGGACACAGGAUUUAUCUUUUUGGAUACAUUGCAGCUGUGAAAAGAUGAAAUCUCUGUAGGCCAAGAGCUGUCAAAUGUAACUGUCGGGAUCUCCGAUCCCAACCUAAAUUGUGUUUGGGUGCUUGGAUUACAUUUCAGAGAUGCACAAUAUGUAAAUCUUAUACAACCGCAGUCUUCCGUUCUUUCACACUGGUAUAUAAUAAAUCUGUUCAUGAAUCACAAUGGAAUAGAAAGAGUGCAAAAGAAUGGUUCUGAUGCUCGGCCCAUACCAAGUGCUUUAACAUAUCAGAAUUAUUGACCGAUUUGAUCCAGAUGAAUCGAUAUUGCUACAUCAACACUUUACCACCAACAUCUAGUUAGAAAGUAGCCUUUAUUAAUUGCAUUCAACCCACCCCUCACAGUGGAAGCAGUGUGCUGCCAUAAGUGGGACACUUUGAUACAGUUCAUGGAUCAGUGUGGCCCCCAAUGAGUAUUUGAGAUUUGUGUGUAGUAGAGGCCCGUGUCAACAGAGCGCCUUCUGGCAGAAAAGCAGCUACAGAGAGCUGGAUAGCGCUUCGUUCCUGCUCACCACGGAAUCUACAGCAAUAACAACAAGUGUGCAUCCCGGUCGUCUGCUUCCACAAAUGCACAACACCAAAAGAAUUUACUACAGCGACGUUACCAGGGCAAAUCUUUUGGGAUCGGGCUUGAAGCACUUGAAGAGGCCGCACUGAAAAGGCGGAGCGCUCUAAAAUAAAAGCUCUGGGUGCAUCGUGCAUAUCAGCUUUCUACAUUGUGAACAACUAAGAGAUCUUUAAUAAUGAUGCUAAAUACGCACUAAAAUGCUCUUUCUAGCGUGCUGAUAUGCAUUGAGUUGUGUUUUAAAAUGUCCAGGGUGCCACACUGCUGUAUAAACCCUGCCGUCUGUUACGCCCCAGUCUAGGGGUGCCUAAGGUGCAACAUGGAUAGGCCCCAAUCUUCCCCGUCUCCCAAGUGGCCACACACACUUUGCGUUAUAUAGGGGAUAUUUAUUGAACAAAAGAGCUAGGUUGAGUAAACCAGGUAUGUUGGGGUAAAAACAAACCACGGCUUCGCAGUUGCCCAUCCCCAAUAUAAUAAACAAACCAAAAAACGAUCCUAGCUAAAAAUAAGACCUGACCUACCAAAACAAAGGAGAAAAAUAAUGACACCAGUCUUACCUACCUAACUACUUUAAAACAGGAGAAAACCAACUCAAAAGAAAAACGGCAUACUUAUUAGGCUUCACAGUAUGACACAAGUGGCUGGUUGGAAGAGGGGGAGGACGAGGGUUGUGUGCUGCUGCUGCUGUUCUCCCCGCUCUGGCCUGCUCUGCCUCGGACGCCAUCUUUGCUUCCCUUAUGUGCAGGCUACAGCCAAUCACAGGACGGGUAGGAGACCGUCCACCAAUCCGCGCCUGGUUGUGGCACAUCCCUGUUUGAAUAAAGGGAAACCAGAAAGACACAAAAGGAAACCCCAAAAACACUACAGACAUAUGACCCCAGUCAUAACACGUCCUACAACAAAAGCUGAUGAGCAGAAGACACUUAUUGAGGGAAACUAAAUUAAAUUGGAUCAUCAGGACUAAAAAUGAAAUUUGUAUCCUGGACCCAGUUUUAUUCAUCCUUUUUUGUUUCCUUUUAAAACUGGAAUAAGGAGACCAGUAAGAAUGAGGAAACCACAGAGUUUGGUGAUUUGUUACCUUUUGAGAACAAAACAUGUUCACAUUCAUGUAGUCAUUUGAUCCAUUGUUAAUGCAACACAAUUGUUUGUGGGUUUUUCAACUCAGUACCAUUUUUUUUGUGGUUUUCAUAACCACCAACAAAAAUCCACAUUAUCUGACUUGUGUUGUAAAGCAACAUGCAGCUCUGAUCUACAUGGUUGUUGUGUUUUUUACGCUUUUGUUUUCUUGUUAAAUUUUAGUUUAAAUAAUUUUGUACUCUUUCAUAACUCGUGUCUCUCCCUCUCAUUCUGGUAUGCUCUUUCUUAAGCAUUAAUGUUCCAAGCAAACCCGAGCAGAUUGCACCUUUGACCUGACGACAGCCAACUCAAGGGAAUACUGUAUGAUUAACAGCAAUUGCCACGUCCUAGGUUGUGCCGCCCUCGGAGCUUAUCCUAAGUAGAAUCCAUUAACCUUAGAGUGGUACAAUAUGCAAUUCGAUGCACUUUUGUGAAAGCUCUUGGCCUCACUCCCGAAAAAGAACCGAGAAAGGAAUAAUGCACAGCGGUGGCUGGAUGUGGAGGAGAGCGUGCCAGUGACACAUGUAAGCCAAGACAAGCCGACUCAGUGGGCCACGUUGUACAGCAACCCACCUCUGACUGGGAGACGAGGGGGUGCGAGGGGAAGCCAACUGGCCUCUACCAGAAUUUGGCUCUCUCAAUUCUGUCAGCCAGCGUUUCCUGUCUGUGCAAAUCAAAUGUCCCUGUUUGAAAGGUUUGUUUAUAGAAACUGUAUAUGCAUGUCAAAUUAUAGCUUAAACAUUUUUUAGUCCUUUUAAUUCCCUUGACACUUUGUCUGUGCUUGUGUGACUUUAAUAGGUAUUUUGUCUUAAUUUUGACGUAUUGUGAUAGUUCCCUCAAUUGGAAUACGACAGACCUUUUAUCCUACCUUCCUUAGAUGGAAUACGGUCGGAUUUAUUUGAGAGCAUAUGCUGCCUCCUGUGUUGGACUGUUACCCCGCCUGGAGCUGGGUUUGGCCCUGUGGUCGUCGGCAGACGGCACGACUUGGUUUGUGCUUCUAGGAUCAUCAUUGGAUACAUCGCUAGACUACCCAAUCCAAGCAACACUGGAAAAUAUAACUACAUGGAGAAAGCCUGCAUGCCGGUGGUGAUGAUGGACUAGCCAUCAUGCCCUCGGCUGAACUAAAACAAUCUCCUCUGCCUGAUCUCUUCUCCUAUAGAAUGCCAGGCAUUCAAAUGCAAAUCUUCAUACUCCACGACAGUGCUUGUCACUGGGGGGGCAGUGGUACAUCAAUUAUGUUUCACUUAUACUUGAAGCACUGCACUGGAGGGAGGUUAUUGUUCACUCCUGAAAAGGUGUGCAAAAUGGUGCUGCAUGUGCUGUGCUACAUAAUGUGGCACAGCUUCCAAACGUGCCUCGACGGCGAUGUUGGCCCAGACCCUGUCCCCGAUCCCCAAACAUUGCCGCCAGUCUCUCAUCAAGAGGGGACAGCUCCGAUGUCCCCUUUCCCCCCCUGGGGCAGACACACCUUGGCGAUAGUGCGUUAAACGCUUCUUUGCAUCCACUUUGAUGUCAGACCAUUUUUUCUUUAUUUCGGCCACGGUCUGAGGUUGUGAGGCUGCAGCGUUGCUCUGCAACCUUUUGCCACCCAAGUGCCUUGUUGGCAUUAGUGAUGUCCACACUGUGUCCUCCAAAAGGCAUUUUACUUCUCCUUCCCACCUCCCAAUGAUCAUUUCCACUUCACACUGAGUGAAGUUACGUUUCUUCGUUUUCCUCUCAGUGUUUGUCAUGAUUUCGCAAUGGAUGAAUAUUAAUUUGUGGGCGUUCCACAGACUAUAUAUGGGUAAUUAUGGGCGUGACAUGAAGCCGCAAAAGCUGCGCUGCAUUUAGAAGUGAUUGUGAUUUAUUAAGGGAAAACUGCGUAGGACGUUUUGAAUAUUUCUGUGCGUAAGCACGUCCUACGUUUCAUCCGUACGCCACUUCUGGCGCAAAUCCUACGCAAGGUUUUAUAAAUGAGGCCCCUGGUCUUUAAUGGCCAUAUCAAAUACCCGUGCAAAACCUCCUUCUAUCAUCUCAAAAGCUCCGCCCCACUUUGACUCUGUCAGAUGCAGAGAAGCUUGUGCACGCCUUAAUCUUUUCAAAACUGUACUACUGUCAUUCACUCGUUACUGUGUCACGAUCCGGACCGCCAUGACACCAAAGAGAGGAUACCACAAGCAAGUAGUAAGAAUGGAGUUGUAUUUGACUUACAGCUACAGUGGCACGUGAAGUAUGUAGUUUCAGUGGUGGAGGUGUGUGUCUGUUGUAUUGUGUCAGAACAAACCAUACUCUUUUAAAUAGCAAAUCGGGUGACUUAAGGCAGAGCGACAGAGAGCACCUGAGAUGAGACGACCUUUUAUCAGAGUGCACCGGCACACAAAGCAGCUCGUUCCUCUGGGUCCCAAACACCAAGCUUCGCACCACGGGCGAAAGGAACAGCCUCCCUAACCACCUAAGGGCAGCACAGUCACAGGACUCUUAACUUUGAUUUAGUUAAGUUUAUUCUAUGUCUUUAUUGGCUUUUACUUUACUUUAUUUUGCUGGCUCUGUCGUACUCUGAGAUCUGUUUAUUCAAUUAAUUUUAUCUUGGACAGCCCAAAAUUGCAAAUUACGAAUUUUUUUUAGUUUCCACAGCAGGCCUGUAGGACAGCCUGUUCCAAAAGAAAAGAUUGCAAAUCCUACAUGUGAGGAGUGGUAAAGUUCAGUGACGAGCCGCAGGACCCUGUCACCCCUUUAAUGAAAACAUAGCAUAAUGUUGUGCUCAUCACCAGUGCCGGCUGGUCCAUAGAGGGCACCUUCCACCUACAAUUUUUUUAUUAUAUUAAAAAUACAUGUUACAAAUAGUCAAUAUGUGACUUUUUCUGUUUUUGAAACAUGGAAUAUAGCCAGUAUCAUUUGUAAAUUAAGAUAUCUGCGCAAAAUAUAUGUUUUUCCUGCACGUCCUCUCCACAUGUCUCAGCUGGCCUCGGGCCGUGUCCCAAUGCGGCAGGUCUAAUGUCGCGUUUCCACCGAGCGGUACUGUACGGUACGGGUUGGGUCGGUACCCUUUUAUUUGUGUCUCCACUGCCAAAAGUUGAGAAUGGUACCAAAAAUCCGAACCGUACCGUACCACUUUUUGGGUACCCUUCCGUUGGGGCACCUGGCACAGUUGUUUGGUAAUAAAGGGUGGAGCUAGACUCACUGCAGAACGUUGAUUGGUUGAAAGAGUGUCGUCAUUUGCGCGUGCCGCAAGGGGAAAGACAACACACGUAACACACUUGCAGCAUGUAGCCUUUGCUCAAACAAAGAGUGUCGUCUCCUUGUGACAAACAGCCACAUAUCGAGGAACAGGAUCGGUGGUCUGUCCUCAAUUGUUAUUUGCGGUUAGCUUUCAGUUUUUGCGCGAUCGAAUAACGUCAAUCUACUUUCCGUCAUAUACCACGCCUAUCAAGUGACCUUAUCGCUACUUUCUGGAAGUGACGUUAGCACUACUUUCUGGAAUACACCACGCCUAUCAAGUAAGGGUACGGUUGGCGAUGGAAACGCUCGCCAAAUCAUGGUUAAUAGACCCGACCCGACCCGUACCAUACCGCUCGGUGGAAACGCGCCAUAAGAAGCAGUUUAGAAAACCCCCUGAUUAAAGUCAAUGAGUGAUAUAUCAUUUCAGAGUCCUAAAAUACAUCAAUAUCAAUUGUGUCGGAGAAACUAGAGGUAAAACAGCUGCACCCAGAUCAGCCUGACCUCUCAAUCAGACAACGGACCGGAGUGAAUUUAACAUAUUUAUGAUAUUACAUUUAUUAUAUGGUAUUUAUAUUGGAUAUGUAUAAUAGUUAUGAUAUGGUGGUUAUAACAUAUUCUUAUACAUACAUAUUGAUACAUAUAUACAUACAUACAUAUGCCAACAUGAAUCAUACUGGGAUGUUUACUGAAACUGAUUGGCUGGUCCUACCAAUCCACCAGCCAUCACUGCUCAUCACAAUCAUUGCCAUUCUCACUGAUGAAUAUAAUAGUGGUGGGCCUUAAUGGCCAGCAAUGCGUUCAGCCCUAACCAUCAUUAAAAUACAAAUGACAUUUUUCAGUAUUCUUUCACCAAAUAUGUAUUGAAUUAUUCCUCACAUGCUCUGUUCAUUUGAUUGUGCUGCUUCCAGCCUUAGAGCAAGAUUUGGGUGGCUGGCCUUUGUCAGAGCUUUUAUCCAUUCAUAAUUCAACCGUUAUCUACAUACAUACGCUUUAGUUACAAACUCCUGUUUUUUGAAGUUGAACAAUCACAAAAUUCCUAAAGCCCUUACGUAUUGACUUACUGGUCAAGAAAGUCUACGUGCCUAUGUAGUGUCAAUCAAGCUAAAUAUAUGACAUCCUCUUUCAGUUCACUUGGCGUUUUGUUAGCCAGCAUUGUGUUGGAUGAGGCUAUUAAUACUGUCUUGGUGUUUAUUACAUGGUACCAGUUCCAGAUGUUAAAUUCAAAUUUAGAAGUUCUCGAGCAGAGCACCCAGUUGAAAAUGUCCCAGCCACACAUUAGCGCCCUGACAUCUGCUACUGGUAGGUAGAGGAUACUUCCAACAAAAAAAUCUAUCUGCUGUCAUAUGUAUGUUGAGGAAAUGAUUGCUCACAAAAGUACUUCCUCUCCAUUCACACAACCAAACAAACACAACUACAUUAUGUAAUUUUGACCAUGUCCUUGUUCUCUAGGAAUUUGGAGGCAUCUGACCCCUUAAUAUAUAAGGGUAGGUUAGUCCUCUUGUUUUAUAAAUCUGUCUUCCCAAAUUAAAAAACUUCCUUUUUACCUUUUCCAAACUCUGGCUGUGCUGGUCAAGCAGCUAAAUAAACUCCAUACCAUUACAGAUUAGCAAUGAAACAAUCAAAUCACCAGGAUUAAUCCCCUGGGAGCCAUGAGCAUCUUUAGGAAAUAGUAUAACAAUCCAUCCACGGAGACAUUUCAGUCGGUAAAAAGCAUAUGGCCAAUCAAGAAAAAAAGUUCAAACACAGUGCUCUGAUCCAUUUAUUUGAGCUGUCGGGAUUUACAAAACAUCUGACAUUUUUUUCUGCCAGCCUGCUAACUGCUAACAAGCACCAAGGUUUACAUGAAAUGUGCAUUCCUAAUAAGUGUCUCCCCUAACAUAUGCCUUAACCAUCUGCUCUAUUAUGAAUUCCAGGAAUUGGCCACUAGAUGAAAUAUGACACAAUCCAUGGACUAACCAUAUUAUAUUAUCAUCACCAGCCUUUGCCAGACCCAAGAAGUAGAGGUGAACUGAUGGACUGGUCUUCAUACUACACCUUGGUCUCAUCUGUUAACCACCUGGACGGGGUUAAGAAGCUCUUCCUGCAUCAGCACUGAGAAAAUCCAUAAUUUGUCUUCAUCCUUGUCCACCUGUCUUAUAUUUAUCUGCAGAAUAUUUGGAGGGAGCCAUUCAUCACCUUCUUUCUUUUGAGUGCAUGAAGUGUUUAGGUUGCAAAUAUCUGGGAGAUUUACAGUUAAAAGCAUGUUCAUCAUUAUUAGCGCUCAUAGAUCAGGAAUUACUUAAGGAGUCAUGUUUGAGCAACAGCAUAAUCAGAGAACAAUCUUCUGGUAAAAGACCAUCUUCUCCCUGUAACACAUUAUUAUAUUGAAAGUAAUGAGAGACAUUAGAUCAUUUAGAAAACCGAGCAGAAUUUCUCACUCCAAUUAGAACGUGCCACAAACGUCCAUGUAGUUUUGGAGCUUUUAUCAUUACAUUAAAGGCAUUUAAAGGCAUUCAACUUUAAAAAGUCUCCUGAGUUGUAGAAAAGGCUAACAAUGAGCUGAUGCAGCAUUUAACAUACAGGUGAGGCUACUUGGUUUCAUUCCUGUUCUGCAACACAACAAAAAGUCUAGUUUUUUUCUUAAACGGUGGCCAUGAACUAUCCUUUUUUUCUUUGUUUCCUAGGUAAUGAAUUGAGUUUGAAGCGCAAAGUUAAGACAGUCUCUUUCAAAUCCCUUUCCGGCCUGGCCUCAGGUGGGUGUGAGGUGAACAGCCUCUCCUGAGUCUUUCCGAACAGACUGUGGUCAGUGUAAGGAUGAGACAACAGAGCCUCUUCAAAUCCCUUUCCAGACUGGCCUCAGGAUAAAGGAUUCAGGCCUCUCCAACCCAAGCCAUUUUACAGCUGCUCCAGAGAAGUCCUCACUUCCGACCCAAGCAGCUCCCCAAGAAGGAAAACUUAUUCUACCCCUUGUAUACAACUUGCGUGUUACAAGAGCAGGAACGGCUUUCGCGCCACCAAGAAACCUCAUGAUCCCCAAUCGAUCUCUGCAACAAAGGACAGAGGUCCAAGUUAAACGAGACUCAAGGAGACACGGAAAACCCAAACGACUCACAGUAAGGCUACGUCUGGGCAGAAGUUAGAUUAGCAUGUGUGAUUAUUUUUCUUUGAUGUUUACUGUAUUUACUGUACUGUAUUACUGUAUUACGGGAUUGUGUGUGUUUAUGAACCACUAUCAUGCCUCACUGUUCCGAAUAAGAUCUGCUUUGCUUUAAGUUUUGCUAAUUUACUUGAACACACAUGGCUUUUCAUGUAGUGAGCUAGGGUGGCCACCCGUCCCAUAAAAUAUUGAAUUGCGUUUUACCAUAUUUGUGAAAAAAAAAAAAACGU